UACAGAGGUCCCAAGCGUUGUUCGGAUUCACUGGGCGUAAAGGGUGCGUAGGCGGUUUGAUAAGUCUGAUGUGAAAUCCCGCAGCUUAACUGCGGAACUGCAUUGGAAACUAUUUGACUAGAGGAAUGGAGGGGAGACUGGAAUACUUGGUGUAGCAGUGAAAUGCGUAGAUAUCAAGUGGAACACCAGUGGCGAAGGCGAGUCUCUGGACAUUUCCUGACGCUGAGGCACGAAAGCCAGGGGAGCAAACGGGG
rnacentral:rRNA from 1 species